rnacentral:lncRNA from 1 species
GCAGUUUUAAUUCGCGCGCUUAUGAUGGAAACCGUUACCUGAGCGGCGGCGAGGGUGCGCCCUUCCCCUGCGCUGCGUCGYGCUGGGCGCAGGAGAGUCCGGCCGGCUGGCGCCGGCGAGUCGCUCCGGAGGCUGCCGGGGGAGCCGACAUCCUUGCCCCGUCCCGCCCAGCUCGGGCGUUUGGGCUGCACCGUCCCUAUUGAUCGCUUCGGUCACCAAGAAAGGAUGUACCGAAUUCCAAAGAGUGUCGGGCCUUAUCGGGCAGCUGCUUCUACAGGCGCGAGGACACGAGGCAGCGCCGCGCCGGUCCGUGAUUAUUAGGAAAGAAGCAAGAAAAUCUUCAGCGGUAGAAAUCUGUGUAGGCCUAGUGCCUAUGCCCCGUUUCAUCAGGGCUGCAUCACUAGAAUCAAACAAAAUCGGUAUGAUCAAGCUCUCAGAUCUGUGCAAUAAAAGAAAACAUACCGCCGCAGGAAGAGCUACGCACGAACAAUGUGUUCCCUCUGCCUGUGGGUAUCUACUCUAUUUGGCCGCUUCCUGAGGACUCCAAGCAACAGUCGGGUUUGGCAAUGUACCACGUCRUCAGUGGCUUCUUUUGCAACUUUUGCCUUGGUGAUCGAGACUAGCAGGCACAGGAAGGCGCUAGGCUUCGGCUAGCGGGUUACGGACUGUGAUCUGCGGUGAAGGCGACGGCUCCGUAACUAGGCUGAGCAAGACCCUGAGGAAGCUACGGUCUGCCACAGAGUUAAACCUUGGCUUGGCCUUCAGAGUACGUACUUCAAAUGAAGCCAGAUUCAAAGCAAAUGAC